AUCUGUUUUAGACCCUAAAACAUAAAUUAUGUUUUGACAUGUUGUUAAUGAUUCGUAAGUGGCCGUAAGACAAAGACACACUUUUUUGUUUGGGGGUCGGCCUCUGUUUUGACGUAUAUUGUAAAGAGAGAGAGAGAGAGAGAGAGCCUUGAGCGCAGACGCCUGGCCAUUUCUGAACACACACCCCGCCCCGUUUUCUUUGUUUUGAAACACACACAUACGCAUACACUCCAGCACACGCACGCACACACGCGCGCACAUGGCUUUUUCUGCAAGUUUUUUUCUCCGGGGGCAUGCUUGGUGAUAGAAGUUAAGGACUUAUUCCUAUCGUUAGAAGAUAUAGGUCCUGGUUAGCCCCUGACCAUUAUCCGAUCGCUAAGACGCUUGCACACUCCCUCAAAGCUCCGUAAGUUUUCCCUCCAUGGGUAGAUAAUCCGUCCGUCAUGUAAAUCCUGGGGUAUGCACCCAGCUUUAAUGAAUAAGAUGGGUAGAAAAUGAAUCUGUUUAAGUCAUAAGUAAAGGCCUUUCAUAAAGAGGCUGUCAUGAUUGACUGUGGCCCAUAUUUAACACGUAUUGCAUGUUACCUAAGACUAUUGUUGUACAUUGAAUAUCCACUAGCAGAUUUGUGUAGCAUGCAUCUCCACUAUAUCGGUCAUGUUCCUGUGGUCUUUUUAAAAGUUAAUAAACCUGUGUGUAAAAUGUACACUUUUGUUUCACUGUAGAUUUGUUUAAGCCCACCUAGAAACACCUGAUUUAUCCCACAGCAUUAAGGAAUAAGCUGUGUAUAAAAAUAUUCUGUUUAAGUCCUAAGUAAAGGCCUUUCCUAAAGAGGCUGUCAUGAUUGACUGUGGCCCAUAUUUAACACGUAUUGCUUGUUACAGAAGACCCCUGUUGUACAUUGAAUAUCCAAUAGCCGAUUUUUGGAGCAUCUCCACUAUAUCUGUCAUGUUACUGUGGUCUUUUUAAAAGUCAAUAAACAUGUGUGUAAAAUGUACACUUUUGUUUCACUGUAGAUUGUUUAAGCCCCCCUAGAAACACCUGAUUUAUCCCACAGCAUCAAUGAAUAAGCUGCAUAUAAAAUUAUUCUGUUUAAGUCAUAAGUAAAGGCCUUUCAUAAAGAGGCUGUCAUGAUUGACUGUGGCCCAUAUUUAACACGUAUUGCUUGUUACAGAAGACCCCUGUUGUACAUUGAAUAUCCAAUAGCCGAUUUUUGGAGCAUCUCCACUAUAUCUGUCAUGUUACUGUGGUCUUUUUAAAAGUCAAUAAACAUGUGUGUAAAAUGUACACUUUUGUUUCACUGUAGAUUUGUUUAAGCCCACCUAGAAACACCUGAUUUAUCCCACAGCAUUAAGGAAUAAGCUGUGUAUAAAAAUAUUCUGUUUAAGUCCUAAGUAAAGGCCUUUCCUAAAGAGGCUGUCAUGAUUGACUGUGGCCCAUAUUUAACACGUAUUGCUUGUUACAGAAGACCCCUGUUGUACAUUGAAUAUCCAAUAGCCGAUUUUUGGAGCAUCUCCACUAUAUCUGUCAUGUUACUGUGGUCUUUUUAAAAGUCAAUAAACAUGUGUGUAAAAUGUACACUUUUGUUUCACUGUAGAUUGUUUAAGCCCCCCUAGAAACACCUGAUUUAUCCCACAGCAUCAAUGAAUAAGCUGCGUAUAAAAUUAUUCUGUUUAAGUCAUAAGUAAAGGCCUUUCAUAAAGAGGCUGUCAUGAUUGACUGUGGCCCAUAUUUAACACGUAUUGCUUGUUACAGAAGACCCCUGUUGUACAUUGAAUAUCCAAUAGCCGAUUUUUGGAGCAUCUCCACUAUAUCUGUCAUGUUACUGUGGUCUUUUUAAAAGUCAAUAAACAUGUGUGUAAAAUGUACACUUUUGUUUCACUGUAGAUUGUUUAAGCCCACCUAGAAACACCUGAUUUAUCCCACAGCAUCAAUGAAUAAGCUGCGUAUAAAAUUAUUCUGUUUAAGUCAUAAGUAAAGGCCUUUCAUAAAGAGGCUGUCAUGAUUGACUGUGGCCCAUAUUUAACACGUAUUGCUUGUUACAGAAGACCCCUGUUGUACAUUGAAUAUCCAAUAGCCGAUUUUUGGAGCAUCUCCACUAUAUCUGUCAUGUUACUGUGGUCUUUUUAAAAGUCAAUAAACAUGUGUGUAAAAUGUACACUUUUGUUUCACUGUAGAUUGUUUAAGCCCCCCUAGAAACACCUGAUUUAUCCCACAGCAUCAAUGAAUAAGCUGCGUAUAAAAUUAUUCUGUUUAAGUCAUAAGUAAAGGCCUUUCAUAAAGAGGCUGUCAUGAUUGACUGUGGCCCAUAUUUAACACGUAUUGCUUGUUACAGAAGACCCCUGUUGUACAUUGAAUAUCCAAUAGCCGAUUUUUGGAGCAUCUCCACUAUAUCUGUCAUGUUACUGUGGUCUUUUUAAAAGUCAAUAAACAUGUGUGUAAAAUGUA